GACGAACGCUGGCGGCGUGCUUAACACAUGCAAGUCGAACGGUGAAGCGCCUUCCUUUUUGGUGGGUGUGGAUGAGUGGCGAACGGGUGAGUAACACGUGAGUAACCUGCCCCCUUCUUCUGGAUAACCGCAUGAAAGUGUGGCUAAUACGGGAUAUUCUGGGUCUGUCGCAUGAUGGGUCUGGGAAAGAUAUUGCUUCGGCGGGGGAUGGGCUCGCGGCCUAUCAGCUUGUUGGUGGGGUGAUGGCCUACCAAGGCGGUGACGGGUAGCCGGCCUGAGAGGGUGGACGGUCACACUGGGACUGAGACACGGCCCAGACUCCUACGGGAGGCAGCAGUGGGGAAUAUUGCACAAUGGGCGCAAGCCUGAUGCAGCGACGCCGCGUGAGGGAUGGAGGCCUUCGGGUUGUGAACCUCUUUCGCCAGUGAAGCAGGCCUGCCUCGUUUGUGGGUGGGUUGACGGUAGCUGGAGAAGAAGCGCCGGCUAACUACGUG
rnacentral:rRNA from 1 species